CGGCAUGCCUUACACAUGCAAGUCGAACGGUAGAGUAGCAAUACUUGAGAGUGGCGAACGGGUGAGUAAUAUAUCGGAACGUGCCCAGUCGUGGGGGAUAACGUAGAGAAAUUUACGCUAAUACCGCAUACGAUCUACGGAUGAAAGUGGGGGAUCGCAAGACCUCAUGCUCAUGGAGCGGCCGAUAUCAGAUUAGGUAGUUGGUGAGGUAAAGGCUCACCAAGCCGACGAUCUGUAGCUGGUCUGAGAGGACGACCAGCCACACUGGGACUGAGACACGGCCCAGACUCCUACGGGAGGCAGCAGUGGGGAAUUUUGGACAAUGGGCGCAAGCCUGAUCCAGCAAUGCCGCGUGCAGGAUGAAGGCCUUCGGGUUGUAAACUGCUUUGUACGGAACGAAACGGUGAGCUCUAAUACAGUUUGCUAAUGACGGUACCGUAAGAAUAAGCACCGGCUAACUACGUG
rnacentral:rRNA from 1 species